GGAAUCUUCCGCAAUGGGCGAAAGCCUGAUGGAGCAACGCCGCGUGUGUGAUGAAGGGUUUCGGCUCGUAAAACACUGUUGUAAGAGAAGAAUGACAUUGAGAGUAACUGUUCAAUGUGUGACGGUAUCUUACCAGAAAGGAACGGCUAAAUACGUGCCAG
rnacentral:rRNA from 1 species